rnacentral:piRNA from 1 species
CUGGAUAUAUAGACUAGGCUGCC